rnacentral:rRNA from 1 species
UACGAAGGGUGCAAGCGUUACUCGGAAUUACUGGGCGUAAAGCGUGCGUAGGUGGUUGUUUAAGUCUGUUGUGAAAGCCCUGGGCUCAACCUGGGAAUUGCAGUGGAUACUGGGCGACUAGAGUGUGGUAGAGGGUAGUGGAAUUCCCGGUGUAGCAGUGAAAUGCGUAGAGAUCGGGAGGAACAUCCAUGGCGAAGGCAGCUACCUGGACCAACACUGACACUGAGGCACGAAAGCGUGAGGAGCAAACAGG